rnacentral:rRNA from 1 species
AUUGAACGCUGGCGGCAGGCCUAACACAUGCAAGUCGAACGAGUGGCGAACGGGUGAGUAAUGUAUCGGAACGUGCCCAGUAGCGGGGGAUAACUACGCGAAAGCGUAGCUAAUACCGCAUACCAUCGGAUGUGCCCAGAUGGGAUUAGCUAGUAGGUGGGGUAAUGGCUCACCUAGGCGACGAUCCCUAGCUGGUCUGAGAGGAUGACCAGCCACACUGGAACUGAGACACGGUCCAGACUCCUACGGGAGGCAGCAGUGGGGAAUAUUGCACAAUGGGCGCAAGCCUGAUGCAGCCAUGCCGCGUGUAUGAAGAAGGCCUUCGGGUUGUAAAGUACUUUCAGCGAGGAGGCGUUACUCGCAGAAGAAGCACCGGCUAACUCCGUGCCAGCAGCCGCGGUAAUAC